rnacentral:rRNA from 1 species
CGUACACUCCUACGGGAGGCAGCAGUGGGGAAUAUUGGACAAUGGGCGCAAGCCUGAUCCAGCCAUGCCGCGUGAGUGAUGAAGGCCCUAGGGUUGUAAAGCUCUUUCACCGGUGAAGAUAAUGACGGUAACCGGAGAAGAAGCCCCGGCUAACUUCGUGCCAGCAGCCGCGGUAAUACGAAGGGGGCUAGCGUUGUUCGGAUUUACUGGGCGUAAAGCGCACGUAGGCGGACUAUUAAGUCAGGGGUGAAAUCCCGGGGCUCAACCCCGGAACUGCCUUUGAUACUGGUAGUCUUGAGUUCGAGAGAGGUGAGUGGAAUUCCGAGUGUAGAGGUGAAAUUCGUAGAUAUUCGGAGGAACACCAGUGGCGAAGGCGGCUCACUGGCUCGAUACUGACGCUGAGGUGCGAAAGCGUGGGGAGCAAACAGGAUUAGAAACCCCUGUAGUCCCAUA